rnacentral:rRNA from 1 species
GACGAACGCUGGCGGCGUGCUUAACACAUGCAAGUCGAACGGAAAGGCCCUGCUUUUGUGGGGUGCCCGAGUGGCGAACGGGUGAGUAACACGUGAGUAACCUGCCCUUGACUUUGGGAUAACUUCAGGAAACUGGGGCUAAUACCGGAUAGGAGCUCCUGCUGCAUGGUGGGGGUUGGAAAGUUUCGGCGGUUGGGGAUGGACUCGCGGCUUAUCAGCUUGUUGGUGGGGUAGUGGCUUACCAAGGCUUUGACGGGUAGCCGGCCGGGGAGGGUGACCGGCCACAUUGGGCCUGAGAUACGGCCCAGACUCCUACGGGGGGCAGCAGUGGGGAAUAUUGCACAAUGGGCGGAAGCCUGAUGCAGCAACGCCGCGUGCGGGAUGACGGCCUUCGGGUUGUAAACCGCUUUCGCCUGUGACGAAGCGUGAGUGACGGUAAUGGGUAAAGAAGCACCGGCUAACUACGUG